rnacentral:rRNA from 1 species
GAUGAACGCUAGCUACAGGCUUAACACAUGCAAGUCGAGGGGAAACGGCAUCGAAAGCUUGCUUUUGAUGGGCGUCGACCGGCGCACGGGUGAGUAACGCGUAUCCAACCUGCCCAUCACUUGGGAAUAACCUUGCGAAAGUAAGACUAAUGCCCAAUGACAUCCCACGAAGGCAUCCGAAUGGGAUUAAAGAUUUAUCGGUGAUGGAUGGGGAUGCGUCUGAUUAGCUUGUUGGCGGGGUGACGGCCCACCAAGGCAACGAUCAGUAGGGGUUCUGAGAGGAAGGUCCCCCACAUUGGAACUGAGACACGGUCCAAACUCCUACGGGAGGCAGCAGUGAGGAAUAUUGGUCAAUGGGCGAGAGCCUGAACCAGCCAAGUAGCGUGCAGGAUGACGGCGCUAUGGGUGGUAAACUGCUUUUAUAAGGGAAUAAAGUGGGUCACGUGUGACUUUUUGCAUGUACCUUAUGAAUAAGGACCGGCUAAUUCCGUG